AUUGAACGCUGGCGGCAGGCCUAACACAUGCAAGUCGAGCGGAAGAAGGGUGCUUGCUCCUGGUUUCAGCGGCGGAGGGGUGGGUAAUGCCUAGGAAUCUGCCUGGUUGUGGGGGAUAACGUCCGGAAACGGGCGCUAAUACCGCAUACGCCCUGAGGGAGAAAGGGGGGGAGCUGCGGACCUCACGCUAUUAGAUGAGUCUAGGUCGGAUUAGCUAGUUGGUGGGGUAAAGGCCCACCAAGGCGACGAUCCGUAACUGGUCUGAGAGGAUGAUCAGUCACACUGGAACUGAGACACGGUCCAGACUCCUACGGGAGGCAGCAGUGGGGAAUAUUGGACAAUGGGCGAAAGCCUGAUCCAGCCAUGCCGCGUGUGUGAAGAAGGUCUUCGGAUUGUAAAGCCCUUUUAUUGGGGAAGAAAAGCAGUAAGUUAAUACCUUGCUGUUUUGACGGUACCAACAGAAUAAGCACCGGCUAACUUCGUG
rnacentral:rRNA from 1 species